AGGGAAACCGAGUCUUAACUGGGCGUUAAGUUGCAGGGUAUAGACCCGAAACCCGGUGAUCUAGCCAUGGGCAGGUUGAAGGUUGGGUAACACUAACUGGAGGACCGAACCGACUAAUGUUGAAAAAUUAGCGGAUGACUUGUGGCUGGGGGUGAAAGGCCAAUCAAACCGGGAGAUAGCUGGUUCUCCCCGAAAGCUAUUUAGGUAGCGCCUCGUGAACUCAUCUUCGGGGGUAGAGCACUGUUUCGGCUAGGGGGUCAUCCCGACUUACCAACCCGAUGCAAACUGCGAAUACCGAAGAAUGUUAUCACGGGAGACACACGGCGGGUGCUAACGUCCGUCGUGAAGAGGGAAACAACCCAGACCGCCAGCUAAGGUCCCAAAGUCACAGUUAAGUGGGAAACGAUGUGGGAAGGCUCAGACAGCCAGGAUGUUGGCUUAGAAGCAGCCAUCAUUUAAAGAAAGCGUAAUAGCUCACUGGUCGAGUCGGCCUGCGCGGAAGAUGUAACGGGGCUAAACUGUGCACCGAAGCUGCGGCAGCGACGCUUAUGCGUUGUUGGGUAGGGGAGCGUUCUGUAAGCCUGCGAAGGUGUCCUGUGAGGGAUGCUGGAGGUAUCAGAAGUGCGAAUGCUGACAUAAGUAACGAUAAUGCGGGUGAAAAGCCCGCUCGCCGGAAGACCAAGGGUUCCUGUCCAACGUUAAUCGGGGCAGGGUGAGUCGACCCCUAAGGCGAGGCCGAAAGGCGUAGUCGAUGGGAAACGGGUUAAUAUUCCCGUACUUGGUGUUACUGCGAAGGGGGGACGGAGAAGGCUAUGUUGGCCGGGCGACGGUUGUCCCGGUUUAAGCGUGUAGGCUGGUUUUCCAGGCAAAUCCGGAAAAUCAAGGCUGAGGCGU
rnacentral:rRNA from 1 species